GUUUAAUGGCUUCUGUGAUGCAGUUUCUUCCUGUUCCGGAUUGUUUGAGCUCCAUAUAUAGGAGGUACCAUCAUCAUUUCAGAGACAUCAGUAUAAUAAGCCCAACGGGAGAAUGAUAUGGCAAUUUCUAAAUUUCCUAGAAGGAUCGCUCAGGAGGAUGGGCUUGAGCAGGCUGCCUUCCAUGUCACACCACCACUGGGCACAUUUUGUUUUUUGGCAACUGCCCCAACAGGAUUUUUUGUUCAUUCUGAAAAUCACAUCGCCAGAUCCAACACCUUUUUAUCCCAAUCACCAGUACAAGCCACCCGUAUCAGUGUACACUGUGGCUGACCGAUCCAUAGUGAUGCUUUGAGCACAAGGAAGGACUUUCUGGAAUCUACUUAUCUGACCAAGAAAGCUUCUUUCCAAAAGAAAUGCAAUUGUCUUGAGACUUCUUCCCUAGGGAUCUGAUCAACUAACCAGAAAAGAGCAACCACCAGAGAAGAGACUGUGGGUGUCAUUGUGACUGGCUGCUACCUCCCCAUGAGUCUUCUAAAAUAAAACCUGCAAAUUCACAUCUUCCCCAUGCUUCCAGAGAAUGCAUAUUCUUCCUUUGAAAAAAGAAAACCAGCACUGUUCAUAAUAGCCAAGAUUUGGAAGCCACCUAAGUGUCCAUCAACAGAUGAAUGGAGAAACUGUGGUACAUAUACACAACGGAGUGCUAUUCAGCCAUAAAAAAGAAUGAUACUCUGUCAUCUGCAACAACAUGAAUGGAACUGGAGAUCAUUAUGUUGUUAAAUAAGCCAGACACAGAAAGACAAACAUCACAUAUUUUCACUUAUUUUGGGGAUAUAAAAGUCAAAACAAACUCAUGGAGAUAGAGAACAGAUAGACGGUUACCAGAGGCUAGGAGGAGGAGUGGUGGGGGGCAGUUAGUGAUGGUUAAUUGGUACAAAAAAAUGGUUAGAAAUAAUAAAUAAGACCUAGUAUUAGAUAGGACAACAGGAGGACUAUAGUCAAAAAUAAUUUAUUUGUACAUUUCAAAGUAACUAAAAGAGUGUAAUUGUAUUAUUUGUAGCACAUAGGAUAAAUGCUUGAGGUGACGGAUACCCCAUUUACCCUGAUGUGAUUAUUACACAUCGUAUGCCUGUACCAAAAGAUCUCAUGUACCUCAUAAAUACAUACACCUACUAUAUACCCACACAAAUUAAAAAUUAAAAAAAUUUAAAGAAAUUACAGUUUGUUGGUUUUGAAUAUUUGACCAAAUUUUUUACUAAGCACAGAUAGAUUGAAUAUAAUUUUAUUGUCCUUUUGACAUUAUGAUAAUGAAGGUAUCUACACAGAAGUCUGAGAUGAGAAAAAAAUGAUAUAAUAUCCACCUACUACAUAGUGGGUAGUUUAUAUACUAAAGUUAUUGUUAUGAGAAAGAAUGGCUUAGGAAUAUUAUUUAAAAUUAAUUAAGGGGUGUUAAAAAUAAAAUACCAAGUGUAAAAAUGACAAAGGCAAGAAGAAACAGUAUAUAAUGUGAGUAAAUCUUAAUCUUUCCAAGAGAGGAGACAGUACAUAAUGUCUAAAAUUGUUAAACCAUGAAAUAGAAAUAUAGUUAUUUUAUUCAUAAUUAAGGAGAUAACUACUAUAGCACGAAAUCGUGCCAAAAAUGGUUGCCUCUGGGAAAUGUGAUUAUAGAUAUUAUAAUAUUUUGGACUGUAAAAAUCUGCUUUUAAGACUGAGGAAAUACAAAUAGGACAAUAUUUAUUUGAAAUUUGUAUCCUCAGGGAGUGUAAAGAAAUUAAUGUAUCCACAAAAUAAUAAUAGCUGCUAUUUGAAAACAUAGUUUUCUUGAAAGUUAAAAUAGUAAUAGUCUUCUAAAAAUUUUGUUAGUUUUGGUUUUCUCUUUAAUCUGAGUUAUGUAGAAAAGUGCUUAUUUCAAAUUAGGUAGGCUUGUUUUAUUCCUUUUUCUGUCUUUUUUCUAUCAACUAGUGUUUUAUUGUGUUCAGAAAAUGCCAUGCAUUAAAAGACUACUUUUGAGAAUUUCUAGAGAUUUUCUUUGUUACUAAAGAGAUUUUUGUAAUUGUUACAUGGGAUUUUAAAAAGAAUGUAAAUUAUCCUUUUUGUCAAGUAUAAUGAUUUCUGAAACCUAGCUGUGUCAGAAUACUGUAUAAUACUGUAAUAGUAUGUUGUUUUUGGCUAUGUGUACUUAUUUCUUAGAGUGGUAUGUUAAAGCCUCGACCUUGUGACUUUGUUUAUUUCUCUCUCUACAUCUAAACAUUUCCAAGACAUGUUAUUUGCAAUACCAAGACCAUAACUAUUAUGUAUUUAAUCAAAAUAAAAUAUUUCGGCUCUCUAUAAUUCACCUUGAACUUUAUUUUGUUAAAUAUAAAUGUUGUUGAUUAUACAACAUUUCAUUAUCAAUCCCUAGACACAUUUCUAAUCCACUAUAAUUGUUUUAAAAUAAAAGGAGAAGGGAAGGUUGUA
rnacentral:lncRNA from 10 species